rnacentral:lncRNA from 1 species
UAUAUGUAGGACUCUAAAGUGCGAUGGUACUCUAAAAUGCGAUGGUCACGCUAAAGUACGAUGGUCUACGCUAAAGUGCGAUGGUGUCAGACGCUAAAGUGCGAUGGUUGUUUGUUUUUUAAGUGCGAUCAGAAAUCACGCUAAAGUGCGAUGGUAUGACACGCUAAAGUCCGAUGGUGUAACGGGAAUGUGAUUCAGGCAAUGGUUUUCGUUUUUUGCUGAGUUCCUAUUACAUUUUCGUUUAUUGUUUUAAUUAUGUGUCAAGUCGUAGUCUUUCUCUUUUGAAUUGUUAUACACUAGUCAUUGUAUAACCCUAUAUAGCUUGUAGCGUCAUGGACCAAUGUUAUAUAUAUAAAUACGUUGACGGCCGUAUGAUUAUUAGCUGCAUACAUAAACGGCAUUGGGAUUAAAUGGAAAGUUUAUUUUACAUCAUCUUAUGUUUAUUUAAAGUACGAUAGUUGUUCAAAAGGUGUAAUGGUUACACUGAAGUAUUGUUAGUACAUCUGGAAUGUAGUGGAAGUCGUUUUUUAAUAAAAUAAUAUGUUAUAAGACAAUGCCCCGUGUUAAAGGUCAUACUUAAAUUUGCAUAUUUCAAUGACAUUAGGUCGGAGAUAGAUAGUUGUCGUAUUGGCAAUCAUGUACACAUGUGUUUGUUAGGUUGCUGUCUAAUUGACGUAUAUUCAUUAUUUAACAGAAAUAACAAACCAUAUA